AUUGAACGCUGGCGGCAGGCUUAACACAUGCAAGUCGAACGAGUGGCGGACGGGUGAGUAAUGCGUGGGAAUCUUGCUUAUGGAGGGGGCUAACUACGGGGACCUGUAGCUAAUCCCGCGUACCAUCGGAUGAGCCCAAGUGGGAUUAGGUAGUUGGUGAGGUAAUGGCUCACCAAGCCGACGAUCUCUAGCUGUCCUGAGAGGAUGACCGGCAGCACUGGAACUGAGACACGGCCCAGACUCCUACGUGAGGCAGCAGUGGGGAAUAUGGCGCAAUGGGGGGAACCUGACGCAGCCAUGCCGCGUGAAUGAAGAAGGCCUUAGGGUUGUAAAGUUCUCUCGGUAGCGAGGCGUUACCUACAGAAGAAGCACCGGCUAACUCCGUGCCAGCAGCCGCGGUAAUAC
rnacentral:rRNA from 1 species